GACAUCUCCAAGUCUGGCAGAAUUCAUGGGGAAAAUUCCCUUUGAUUUGACAUACUACUACUACUAAUACACUUUUUUCUUUGUCUUAUCGUUAUUCUUUUCAUUAAAGGUAGAGUACUGGAAUAAUCUGGAGAGAAGGUAGAAAAGGGAGAAAUGAAAUAUAUAUGACUAAAAUGUAUUUGAGUUAAUAUUCUUCUUAGUCUUGGCCUAUUCUUGUCCCAUUUCAUCAAGUAACGCAAUCCGUCAGAAAAGAAAAAAAUUAGUACUAGUUCUGCCAUGAAGUUCUGACAUUGGGUAUGGUUUUCUGAGCUAAACUUCAUAAUCUUAUAGCCUAAUAUCAAUUCUGUUCAGCUUGCAUGUUCAUUAGAAUUGUCUACUGUAGUUAAUUCAUAGUGUCUUAUUUAAUUGUUUUAUAUAUGUUGUGGCCUCAGAAGAUGUAUUUUUAUGUCUUCAAGUCUGAGAUAUAUCUGCUUAUUAAAUUUUUACUUUUUUUGGUAGCCUCAUGAGGACUGGGGCCAUAACUGCCUUGUUUGCAGUAUCUCCCCAGAAGUAGCACUGUAUCUAGAACAUAGUCUGUGUCCAAUAGAUGCUCUCUUAAAUAUGUGAAUGAAUCAUAGGUGAAUCUAGAGAAUGCUCCUUUUUUUCUGCUCUGCAUAAGGUCAUAGAUAAAAAUAUAAAUAUAACAAACACUAUGGGAAGCUGAUAACCAAACAGCAACUUAAAUUUCAAAAGGUGGUAUCAACAUAUUUUUGAAUGAGAGUGAAUGUCUUUAUGGACCGUUUUUUCACUUAUAAAACAAAGAUGCAGAAAAGCUAACGUCAACAAAAACCCUAAGUCUGAGGCAGGACAGAUAGAAGCUAAAUGCAGAGAGCUGAUUUUGGAAUGCUUCAUAGAGAAUGGGUGCUUAUUACAGAGUGCAAGUCAUUAAGACAAUAGGACCAAUGAUAUGCAUUGCUGGCUGACAAUGAUAAAAUAUGUUUACUAUUGAUAAUUUCUUCUAGUUUCAUCUAUAACAUCUCUAGUUCAUUGCUACCAAAGAGCCACGAGGAAGGUGAAUACAAAUGACGUCAACUGUGAUCCCUCGACUGGCAAACUUCAGUUGUCCUGGAACACCAAGUAUAGAUUCUUGGAUAGUUUAACCAAAUCCAAUUCAAAUUAUUCAUUAUGUUCAUCACCCUUCAAAUCAGAAAGCCCAUCUCAUGUAAUAGUUACAGAAUUGCCCAAAGGAGAAAUAGUGCUCCUUAACUAUUGACCAUUCAACUAUAUGGUGCCAUGUCCAAGAUGAAGAGAAUUCUUAGAAACAUAUUUACUGCCCUGAAAAAGUUUAGAAUUCAGUAAUAUGAUAAAGUUAUAUGCAGAGAAAUAUAACAGUAAGAUGAAGGGAUGAACAAUAAACUGAGAUAGUGGAUAAGUUUGAGUUCUAAAGUCAACAGUCUGGGGUCCAUGAGAUCAGGAAAGGCUUUUGAAAGGAGGAUGAGCUGGUCGUGUUCCAUUAAAGUGGAUAAUUUUGCCAUUAACUAGAGAAGACUGUGGAAAAAAUCUCUCCCUUGCUUCAAUUAUUCUUCCACUAGUAAAUAAACCAAUCCACACCCAAAUCAUAAUACAUAUAAUACCUUGGAAGAAACUUUUAAAUGAAAAUAUAUGCACAUUUGUGAGAAUAUUUCAUUAUGGUAUAGGAAACCAAAAAGUUACCGAAAAUUGCACAUGGUAUGGCUUCUUGAGUGAAAUUUACUUUUUUUUCCUCCCAAAGCCAUUUACAGUAUUGGAUAUUCCAGUCAGUCUUUUGGAAUAUGCACUGUAGGCCUUAAUCUGUGAUCUUCUGCCUUGAGAUUGUUCAUUAGAAUUUUUAUUGUAAUUACGCUUGUGAAGUUCCCCUUUUUAUCACACUCAUUAGCAGCAUGUAGCUAACUCAUUUUCUUGAGUUAACAUAAUUUUGUUAUGUAUCAUUUUUGAUAGAAAAAUAUUUUAUAUCCAAUAUGAUACGAAAUGGAAAAAGCAAAUGGUUCAUGAUCCUACUUAACUCUAAUUAUAUUUUACUUUUAGGGAAUGGGAACACACUUCAGUUACUAAUGAUGUUAAUAAUUUAUUGAGGAACAGUUACAGGAAGUAGGCUAGGGCAAUAUGAGCUAAUAAAUACACGUCAAAUUCCACUGCCCUAAAGCCUAAAUUUGCCAAGAGAAGGAGUUAGGACCUUUUGGUUGAGCCGUCCUAACUGAGCUGUUCAGAGUUAGAGACCAGUUAAAGAUAGGACAACAAACAGAAGCAUCUGUAUAGGGGUCACACUGCUAUCAGGACUGUGGGGAGCAGAGCAAUCAGCAACAAGGGGCUGGCUAGGAGGGGAGGAGGCAGCCAUAGGUCAAAGCCACAGAGCAGAAGAAGAAACGGGGGCCAGAAGGAAGCCUUUACUACCUGAUGAUACUUUGUUUUUCUUCUUUUACAACAUAGUAGUGUCAUGGGUGAUUCUGUGGCUACAGGCAUCUUGCAAGGGUAUCUUUCAAGUUUUACUUAAUAUUUUAAAAAUCCGUUCUAAGGCACUAACUCAAGCUGUCAGUAUUUAAGUUUAUUAUUAUGGGGUGAAAAAUAAGUGACAAUAAAGGAAAAAUAGGGCUUUUGGUAGCCCAAGUUGGACCUUUAUGAGGGUUGGUAAUUGCUCCUUCCAUUUAGACCAAAGAGCAGAGUGUAUUAGUCAGGAUUUUCCAAAGAGAUAGGACUAAUGGGUUACAUAUGACACACACACACGCACUCUUUACAGAAAUUUUAAGAAACUAGCUCACACAACUGUUGAGGCCUGGUGAAUCCCAAAUCUGAUGUGUCAGGCUGGUGGGCUGGAGAUUCAGGGGACAGUUAUAGGAAGGUGGGCUGCUCUUCAAAUCCAAAGCGUUUCUGCUAGCAAAAUUUCUUCUCUGGGAGGUCAGUUUUUGUUUUAUUAAGGUCCCAACUAAUAGAAUGAUGCUCAGCCACAUUUUGAAGAGAAAUCUGCUUUACUCAAAAUUCACUGCUUUCAAUAUCUUAUCCAAGUAAAUACCUCCACAAAAAUAACCAAAAUAAUGUUUGACCAAAUAUAGGGCACCAAGUCCCCACCAACUUGAUGCAUAAAAUGAAUCAUCAAGCAGAGCACAGGCUGGAUUUUGGUUCCCUUUCACCCCUUUCAUUAGGUGCUCACAUGUAGAGAAAAUAGGGCUGCUUUCCACAGUGGGUUGGGUUUUGCUAGCACAAUUUCAGGCUGUAUGCCAGUACAUGUGGGGACCACAACUGACUCAUUUUGUAACCAGUAGGCUAAUUAGUGGCCAUGAGGCUCUGUAACUGCCCAUGACCAACUGCCCUUCCAGAGAGGAGCUGGACUUUGAUAAAUGUGACUAGCUCACAGGAGCAGAAUAGAUGAUGGCUGGUCACAGGGUGCUUAAAAUGCUGAAUUUUAUUCUGGUUCUCUGCCACUGACUUGCUAUGAAAUGUUGGGUAAUAUCACUUUAUUUUUCUGGGUCUAGUUUUUCUUCUUUGAAAACCACAGGUUUAUAAUUUGAAAAGUAUCAUUUGUGACAUGAUGUGUCAAACAUUAGCUUUAACAUAAUUGAUUUUGGUCCUUAUUUAACACUGUCAAUGACUAGGAAAAGAGAUUCUUUUAUUGAAAUUAGAUAUAUUCAACAGCCUGUUUUUCUCACAUGAUUUCUAAAUCAUUUCAUGAUCUUUAUUUGAAGGAGAACUCACAUAAUAAAACUAUCAACAAUUUUAAAAACUCAGGAGAAAAAUUCAUCUUCAGGUGAAUAAGCAAUUUCAUAAAGUAAUGUUAUUAAAUGUAAAAAAUUUGAAUGAGCUCAAUAUAUCACAAAAGUGCAAUACUUGCCUCCUUACCUAGUGAGGUCAGUAUCAAUUAAGUUUUAAGGUUUAGUCCCACAAAUUCAAAGGAUCAAUGAAAUAAUAAUACUUUAAAAUUUUAAUACAAUCUAUUUGAAGUCACUUUAGAACAUAAAUAGUAAUCAGGAAGAGAGAUUUAUUUACUUUAUCCUGUAUACCUCUUCUUGCAUACUGGGAUUCUCCUUGGAUCAUUAAUACUUCUGGAUGGAUCCUAUUAUAUUUUCAUCACAAAUUGCUUAAAAAUUUUCAGAGAAAAUAAUUAUUCAUACUCUGAUAUUCUGAUUAGACAAACAAGUAUACCCUUUUAUGCAACUUCAACUCACCAGAAUAUACCAUACCAUAACAUGCUAUAAACAAUGUGAUUAUGCGGAAAAUAUUUGGAGCUUUAAAGUUUUAGAAAGUGUUUUAAACAACUUUUUAAUAACUUUUGUUAUGGAAUUUCAAAAAGAUUAGGUCCAAAAGGACUUUAAAGUAAGACUUUUAAGGGGUAUGGCCUUCCACAAACAUACAGAAGUGUUAAUACCUCAAAGUGUGCCAUACCUUUUAGCACUAGAGUUGGGAAUCUGAUGAGCUGAUUUUGGGGGGUUGCCACUGCUCAGAGCAUUUUUCAAAAUCCAUUCAUGGAAGUGACUUUAGAGCUAGUUUAUGAACCACACAAGGAAAUUAGCUUUAUUACUUUAUUGUCACACCUCAUAUAUUUCCCUUCUCAGAUUCUUCACAGUUGGGCAUCUUCCCCAUCUCAGAGAGAUUUUUGCUUUUUCAUACUGUCCUUGCACAUAUGUCUCCCAAAGAAUGAAUGUUUGCUAUAGAUAGAUUCACAGCUAUAUGCAGGUAGAUAAAAUAUGGUGUGAACACAAAUAGAAAAUACAUUACCUGGCAGGGUACUCUAUUACACAAAAUAGCUUUUCUAAUUGAGGUGGACAGAAAAAGUCAUUUUUAUAAGUUUAAAACUUAUAGAAUGUGUGUGUUAACACUGUUUUAACCUGUUGGCUUAGAGGUCUGCUCUUGAAAAAAAUCUAAUUUUCUCUAAACUAGUUAAAAAAAAAAGACUCAAAACAUUGAUGAUUCAAAGCAUGACAGUAGAAUGUAGCUUGGAAUAUAACUAUCAUUAUUAAAAUUAGGAAUAAAACGAUUUUACUACAUGAUUAAGUGAGGAAAUGGGAUGUUUGCAAAAAUGUGAGAUAAUCUACAGUAAUAAAAGUUUUCUUAAUUUAACUUGAUUUUCCUAGCAUCAUUUCCAAAAAUUUCUUAGUAGUUUACAAAGAACAAAAAUCAUCAGGAGAGGGAAAUGCCAACUGUUUUAGUUUACGCAUAUCCAGGCUGUGUAUUUCCCUGUCUUUGGUUCAUUGAGGCAAUAUCACAGCAUGGCCUCUGGAUAAAACAAGCAAAAGAUAAUGCAGAACACACCAAACUAGAGUAGGUCAAUUAAAAAAACUUAUUAACAAGCAAUUAAAGCUCAGUAGUUUUUUCUUUGUGUGAGUUUGUGUACAGUAUUCAGGGGAGAGUUUAUCAUCUUGGGCCGAUUCUUUCCCCAGGUGUCAUUUACUGGAGAUGCCUGAGGAAACUUGGAGAAGAAUCAGAAGAAAUCAAACAAAUUAUUGUAAAGUUGCCUUUUGUUAUAAGUGAAUGAAUUUUCUCAUUGAAAUGAAUCCUUUUUCUAUGUUUAGUUAAAAUAAAAUUCGAUAUUGAUGUACCAAACCAAAAAGCAAUGACUCUGAAAAUGGUCCAUCAAAGGCAGGACACAUUGUGGAACUGAACAAAGGCUGAAGACUUAUUAAUGAUAGGCCAAUCCUAUGGUGAGCCCGAGUGAGUGAACUACUGUCUGGAAGUAGACUGUUCACUCAUGUGAAGUGAAUUGACACUUCGUGGACACCAGGGUAUUGUUAAGAUCAUUGAGACAACUGAUUUACUAUGAGCAUCCUGGUGCCCUUGCACACCCGGCAUCUCCAUGGGAUCAGGCAUAAUGAAAUUAUAUGGUGCCAAGAAGCUAGACCUUACACAUUUUAGGCAAUAGCCUAGUGAAGUGGUAGGGACUCAUGGUGGUUAAAUCAUGGGGUGCUCCUCUAGCCUUAGCAGAAAUUUUAUCUUUCGUCUUGUAAAGCAAAGAAAUUGGAGCAAGCAAAGCACCCCUGAUGACAAGUCACCCAAAACUUUCUUUUAUAUGUUGUUAAGUGAUUUUUUGCAAGCUCUUCUUUUGCUCACUGGCAGGAAAAAACUCAAAGAUUUCCUUCAAUCAAAGAACCAGGGAGGAAGUUGAUACCUAAUAAAGGCAAUCCUUAUACAGUUUGUUUCUAACUUUAGGCU
rnacentral:lncRNA from 1 species